GUGGAAUUUGUAGUUAUGGUCGUUUUAACUUAUAUAAGGUGUCUAUAUAAGAUUAUAUUAAAUAUUUUAUAAUUUUUUAUUUAUGAUUAUAAUUGUGAAUACUAUGCACUAACAAGAUUUAUUUUCGGUGAGAAAUUGACGGGAAUGUGAAUAAAACCCCUUUAAUUGCACUAGCUAUUAUUAUUAUUACUAUUAUUAUUAUUAUUAUUAUUAUUAUUAUUAUUAUUGAUGAUGAUGCUCAAUUCAUCCUACAUGUUUUUACUGGCAUUGCAGUGUUUCCUAAUUGAUUGAACUGAUUCAACUGAUUGAAUUAAUUGAUUGAAUUACCAAUAAAUUAAUAAAUCCAAGCAUGCCUAUAAAAAUAAACCCACAAAUAUAAAAGAGAAAAUUGUCAGAAUAAAGCUUCAAUAAAAAAAAAGACUAUUGAUAUUACUACAGUAAUAUAAAAACAAUAACAACUUACUACUAUUAGGCUACUUCUUCCUCUACAAUAAUAACAAUAUUAAUAAUGACAAUAACAACAAUGAUAAUUUCACAAUAUUUGUGAACAUGUAAAAACAAUUUCCAGCCGGUUGUGUUGUGUUUAUAACUGAGGCCUAAAUCAAAAACCCUUCGGUUGAAAGAUAUAUCUUAGUUAGGAUAUUAAGUUCCACAUUAAUAGAUGCAAAUAAGAAAACAUUUUUAAUGUUAUAACUCUUCUAUUAAACAACUUAACUUGUUUCGGUUGAUGUGCGUCUAUGAAGCCGUGUGAAAACAUUAGAGAGACAAACAUGAAACAGGGAGCGGCUGUCUGAAUGCAGGAGCAGUAAUCCUGCAGUCGCUGUGUGCUGGCUGUUUCAUUCCUCCCUGCAGAGCCGCAGGCUGGAGACGCAGCUCUGCGCUGAGACUGUAAAAAGGUGUGAAAUUAUUUUGCUGGACUCUUAAAAAUGUUACUACAGUUUGUUCUCCAGUGCAGGUUCAUUAGGGAGAAGGGUUAAAAGUAGUAGGGUGAUGUUGUGGAACAGUGUCGCCACCCUCUGGUGACUUACAGGGACUGCAGGGUGGGGAGGCAGCAGUGCGCAGGCGUGUUUCCUUUCUGUUGCAAUCCCGGAUAAAAUGCAGGAUUAAAGUCAGAGAAAUGACGCUCCAAAGGUAACGGUAUGUUUUUGUUUCGGUUUGGAUUUUAAGUAAACCGCGGAUGUCUUUAAACAGACUUGUCCAGACUUAUUUUGUAAAAAAGCAUCAUCUAUAGGCCUACCACUGUGUUUGGAGCUAGCUGCUGCCUUUAUUGCUCCUUCUCCUUUAGGACGGGCCCAGCAAAGGAGCAGAGGGCGGAAGGUUCCCAGGUAGAAACAAAGGAUCGCUCCAAAUGACCACAGACACCACAAAACAGGCCAAGCGUGAUAGGAAGUCGCCACCUACACGGACUCAAAGUCAGCAGCUGAAGACUUUCAACGACAUAUAAACAUGUCUGUGCACAACUAAGGUGACAGAAAUGUGGGGCCGACAGCGAUGGCGACGACAGAGGGGCCAGGCGGACCACACAGGGGCCAUGCAGGCAAACUGACCAACUCCACGGUCAACGGGAGCACCUCUGACUCACCAGUGGGGACUCACAAUGCUGGAUUAGCCUGUAGAGGGUAUCCUGGGAAACAGGGCGUCAGCAGCAGACGGGCCUGUAUGGACAAAAGGACAUAAAGUGGACUUCAGUGGGGGAAUAAAUGAAAUUAUACAAAGGACAAAAGAUAGAAGGAACAGAAAGACUGAACGAAAUGUACGUGUAGUCAUAGGGUUUCAACUUAUUUUGGAAAAAAGGAACCCACAAUGUGCAGAGAAGGCGACUGCGUCAGAACACCCUCGACUUAAUUUUACUAUUGAUAUCUGAACAGAUAUCACAUUCAGAGCAUUACAAACUCAAUUUCCUAUUAAAUACCAGGCGUCAAAUUGCGCGCGCAUGCUAAAAAUAAAAUAACUGUAAUGAAGAAACUGAUUCUGAGAAGGAUUCAGCUCGCUGAGAAAUAGACCUUGUGUUUUUUAAAGGGUGUUUUUCUCCCUAGGAUGCUUUGAUUAAAAAGAAAAAAGUCUGGAUGUUUGAUUUUACGCAUCUCUUCUGCAUUUGACUUUAGAUGUGAUCUCCCACAGCAAUAUCAAAUUAAAUAUGUAACAGUCUAAGAUGCUGACGUGCCAUUUGCACAAUGUUGAAAUCAAACCAACGCGACGCUUGUAGUUUAUUUUUGAUGUUGAAUUUUGAAAUUUAAACGACACAGCGUUUCAAAUGUGGAGAAGCAGGUUGUUUUUUGUAAAUGUGAAAUUCUCGGUGACACAUAGAAUAUAGUUUGCGCCAAAUAAAGCAUUUAGAUCAUAUAUACUUCAGUCAAGUUUAUUCGAUUAAACGCACAAUGCAAACACCGCCGCUCAGUUACGCGCCCCGCUCUUUUAUUUCUACCUUGUGAAAACCACAAUAUUAUUUCACUUUUGUGUUGCAUCUUUUUUGAUAUACAAGAUCAAAUUAGGAUGAACGGAUCUCACUUCUCAGUACCGCUGUGUCAUUCACGGGAAUGAACUGAUCCAAGUUCUUACAAAGGCGGUCAUCAAAUCAUCUUGCAAUAACUGUUUCUAUGUAGUGUAGUUAAAACAAUAAUCUGUUUUACUUGGGGAAUUGUGGAUUAAAGCUGUAACUAUCAUAUCAGACUAUUGUCCGGACAGGAUAUGAACAUGAAGCACCUGCAGCUGUUCUUAAAACAUUUCCAGAGACGCACAGAUUUCCAGAAUCUGCCAUGACGCUAUUUUUGUAAACACUUCUCGAUAUGAAAUAAUGAAUAAAACAUGCUUUCUUCUGCAAAUAU